UACGGGGGGGGCAAGCGUUGUUCGGAAUUACUGGGCGUAAAGAGCGUGUAGGCGCCAGACAGGUCCGUUGUGAAAACUGGAGGCUCAACCUUCAGACGUCGACGGAAACCGUCUGGCUAGAGUCCGGAAGAGGAGAGUGGAAUUCCUGGUGUAGCGGUGAAAUGCGCAGAUAUCAGGAAGAACACCAAUGGCGAAAGCAGCUCUCUGGGACGGUACUGACGCUGAGACGCGAAAGCGUGGGGAGCGAACAGG
rnacentral:rRNA from 1 species